AGCAGCACCACUCUCAAUGGCUUUUGCACUAAAUAAACAGGAUAAAUAGAGAAGGAAGGCUCAGGGAGAGGAAACAACUUGUCCCUGAGAGCUAGAAACAGACUGCAGGUCUCUCCUCCAGACCUGCCCUGCUUCUGCGUUAAUACCACU